rnacentral:rRNA from 1 species
GACGUAGGGGGCCAGUGUUGCUCGGAAUUACUGGGUGUAAAGGGUUCGUAGGCGGUGUGGCAAGUCGGGAGUGAAAUCUCUGGGCUCAACCCAGAGUCUGCUUCCGAAACUGCUGUGCUUGAGUGUGGGAGAGGCGCGUGGAAUUGCAGGUGUAGCGGUGAAAUGCGUAGAUAUCUGCAGGAACACCCGUGGCGAAAGCGGCGCGCUGGACCACUACUGACGCUGAGGAACGAAAGCUAGGGGAGCAAACAGG